GCAGUGGUAGUUCAGUGGUUAAGACAUUGGAUUACUACUCGAAAGGUCGUCAGCUCAAAUCCCAGCACCUCCG